rnacentral:rRNA from 1 species
UGGGGAAUUUUGGACAAUGGACGAAAGUCUGAUCCAGCCAUUCCGCGUGCAGGACGAAGGCCUUCGGGUUGUAAACUUCUUUUAUCUGGGACGAAAAAAGGUUUUUCUAAGCCUCUUGACGGUACCAGAUGAAUAAGCACCGGCUAACUACGUGCCAGCAGCCGCGGUAAUACGUAGGGUGCGAGCGUUAAUCGGAAUUACUGGGCGUAAAGCGUGCGCAGGCGGUUAUAUAAGACAGAUGUGAAAUCCCCGGGCUCAACCUGGGACCUGCAUUUGUGACUGUAUAGCUAGAGUACGGUAGAGGGGGAUGGAAUUCCGCGUGUAGCAGUGAAAUGCGUAGAUAUGCGGAGGAACACCGAUGGCGAAGGCAAUCCCCUGGACCUGUACUGACGCUCAUGCACGAAAGCGUGGGGAGCAAACAGG